rnacentral:rRNA from 1 species
CCCUUAGAUGUCCUGGGCCGCACGCGCGCUACACUGACAUGUUCAACAAGUUUCUCCUAGUUCGACAGGACUGGGAAAUCUUUGAACGCAUGUCGUGAUAGGGAUAGAUCAUUGCAAUUAUUGAUCUUGAACGAGGAAUUCCUAGUAAACACGAGUCAUCAGCUCGCAUUGAUUACGUCCCUGCCCUUUGUACACACCGCCCGUCGCACCUACCGAUUGAAUGUUUCGGUGAAGAUUCCGGAUAGGACUGAUUUGAUUUAUUUCAUUUCUGACCUAAAAGCUAUCUAAACCUCAACAUUUAGAGGAAGGUGAAGUCGUAACA